UUUUACAACGAAUCAUUCUUUACAUAAUGUACAGGUAGUUAGUUUAAGUUUUCGUACCUAAUACACAUUCAGCGUAAAAAAGCCACGUCGAUACGCCAAUGUCUACAUGGAAACUUCUAGGAUUUGCAACUCCCAUACCCACCUCCCCCUCUCCAAAUGACAUCCUUUCUUGACGAUUGACGAUUAUGAAAUAUUUUACAGAAAUAAUUAUACCUGAAAAAAAUGUAAGGUUGACUAUUUAAGGUUGACUAUUGUUAUAAGAAUGCGACAUAAUAAUCGUUAUACAAACCAUGGUCUGUUCAACGGGCGCAUAAGUCUGAACGGCACUAGUGGCUAGUUGGCUCGCUGUUGUCGCACAUGAUGCACGUAGGCAAUGGAAAUAUUUGUAUCUCAAAACAAACAAAAAACGUGCAUGUUAAAUAUCUAUGCGAACCGUGUGUCUACGACUAGUAAAACUAUCUUUAAUUAUCGAUAAAUUAUAACCAAACCAACUUACUAAUAGGAAAUGCACUUAUACUUGCAUUAUGCAACGUUCGCUUAUCUUUCAUAUUGCCCCAAAAUAAGUGUUGUUUUCUAGCAUUUCUGAAAAUAAAAAAGUUUCAGUAGUUUUAAGAAAUUAUGUACAACAAACCUGUUUACACCAGAUGAACAUCCCUGUAACAAAAACAGUUUUCAUAUAUUUUCGUCUCCUAGCGUUUAACUGUAAUACUUUUAUUCUAACAAACACUGAAACAAUUUUCCUCUUCAACCCAACAUGUCGGAUUGAAAAUUAAGAAAAUAUACUUCUAUUUUUUCGUGCCACUGAUUUUAGUAACAUUGCCUUUACAUGUUAAAUUGUGUGUCUUCUCCAUCCUCUGCUUUCAGUUUUUAAAGUUACUUUCCCACAAGAGAGAUCCACUGUAGUUCAACACAAUUCUAUCACGCACAAGCUGAAAACCGUGACUAUGCUAACGGACUUUAAAUAAUCGAGUGUGAGAAAUCGACUGAUUUUCCACGCAACCGAACAGGACGUCGACUGAAAUUAUGGUUUCAGCUCUUUUCUUUCUUUUUUUUUUCCAGCCCACACUUCUCUUAUUUCUGACUAUUCUGUCAUUUGAAACUUAACCAUGGAGCCUUCUACCGAAAUUUGAUGUAAUGCCUCGCAACCUUAUAUACUUCUGAAGUCAAGGCCAACAUAAACUACCUAUUAAGUUACAAGGCUUAUAGUUUGCCUGCGUCGGUCGAAUUUAUGAUCUACUAUUUAGCAUACUACUUCGACAUUGCUUGGUAUCAGAAUUAGUUGUUGCACAAGAAGCAACUGCUGAAAGACCCUGUUGGGACGCCGAUUUAAAGACUUUAACGAAGAGUUGCGUGGACUCCAUCUUACGCUGACCCGUGAAAUUUGAAAAAAUGACUAGCUUAGUGCACAUCUAUAAACAACUAACUAUUCAUUGUGAAAUAUCCUAGCUUCUGGCUCCACAUGAAUAAUAUGUAGUCAAUUACAAUUGGCUUUGUUAAGGCCAACAUUACCGUUUCA